CUUUGUGCAAACCUGUCCCAUCUCAUGUGAGCUGGACUUGGUGACUAACUUCAGUCAAUAGAAUUAAACAGAAAUCACAUGCGUAAAAUAGAAACUAGGUCAUAAAAGUAGUAUGACAUCACCCGGAAUCUCUCUAUUGCUCUAGUUGUCAUGUCAAAAAACUACUUAGACAGACUAUGAAGAGAUACAUAGGGUGAGAAACGGAGGCCUUCAGCCAACAGCUGGGAGAAGCUGAGUCCCAUCAGCCAUUCAAAAGACUGCAGCCCCAGCCAAGAGUUUGAUGUAACCUCAGGAGAGACCCUGAGCCAGAACCACCUAGAAAUCUCCAAGUGAGAAGACCUUACUUGUCUUCUGAAAGUCUGGCCAACGAGCUAUACCUAGUGAUUCCAAAGUCCACAUAUAUUUACUCUGUUCUCACUGUACAAAGUAACCACUCUGAAGUCAAAAAAGCUGGGAUACAUGAAGACUGCCAUCCCUUGAGUCACUUGCCCUGUAGCUGCCACUGUUGGAAAAGGGCUUGCUUCUGUGUCCUUGUGCCCACUUUGAAAAUCCCUGGGAAGUCCUUGGAGUCAGAUGAGCAGGCCUCCGCCACUCUGCCAAAAAGUCUGUUCAGAAGUUUCACAUCACUAGAGAAGAGAGAAGAAGGACAUUUGUACUGGGAGGAGUCGACCGGUCCCAGUAAGGAGAAAGUAGCUACAGCGUCAUGGGUGAGCUGGGUCCCCCAAAAAGGAACUUUAAGGGAAUGGACUGAAUCAAGUCUGAGAUGUCCCCAAAGCAAGACCAAAGAACUGAGGAAGAGAAGCAUUCAUCAGAAACCAAAAUUCAGCUACAAGUGAGCAUCCAGAUGGAGGUAUUAUGAAGAGGAACUGAGACUGAGGGCAAAAGGUGCCAGCCAGAAUCCUGGAUAGGAGAGCAAGAACCAGGACCUCAUUUAAGAGACAACCUGCUUAAGGCAGAGUAAGCACAAAUGGGCACUCAACAUCAAUGAAGUAACAGCAAAGUCACAUAAUAAAAGCAUGGAAUUAAGACAAGCUGAAGAUUCGGAUGCAAUAAAAC
rnacentral:lncRNA from 1 species